rnacentral:rRNA from 1 species
UACGGAGGGUGCAAGCAUUGAUCGGAAUUACUGGGCGUAAAGGGCGCGUAGGCGGUUAUGUAAGUCAGAUGUGAAAUUCCGGGGCUCAACCCCGGAGCUGCAUUUGAAACUGCAAGACUAGAGUAUAGUUAGGGUAAACGGAAUUCCACGUGUAGCGGUGAAAUGCGUAGAUAUGUGGAAGAACACCGGUGGUGAAGACGGUUUACUGGGCUAUAACUGACGCUGAGGCGCGAAAGCAUGGGGAGCAAACAGG